rnacentral:rRNA from 1 species
UAGAGUUUGAUCCAUGGCUCAGAUUGAACGCUGGCGGCAGGCCUAACACAUGCAAGUCGAGCGGUAGAGAGAAGCUUGCUUCUCUUGAGAGCGGCGGACGGGUGAGUAAUGCCUAGGAAUCUGCCUGGUAGUGGGGGAUAACGUUCGGAAACGGACGCUAAUACCGCAUACGUCCUACGGGAGAAAGCAGGGGACCUUCGGGCCUUGCGCUAUCAGAUGAGCCUAGGUCGGAUUAGCUAGUUGGUGAGGUAAUGGCUCACCAAGGCGACGAUCCGUAACUGGUCUGAGAGGAUGAUCAGUCACACUGGAACUGAGACACGGUCCAGACUCCUACGGGAGGCAGCAGUGGGGAAUAUUGGACAAUGGGCGAAAGCCUGAUCCAGCCAUGCCGCGUGUGUGAAGAAGGUCUUCGGAUUGUAAAGCACUUUAAGUUGGGAGGAAGGGCAUUAACCUAAUACGUUAGUGUUUUGACGUUACCGACAGAAUAAGCACCGGCUAACU